AUUGAACGCUGGCGGCAGGCUUAACACAUGCAAGUCGAGCGAGCGGCGGACGGGUGAGUAAUGUCUGGGCAACUGCCUGAUGGAGGGGGAUAACUACUGGAAACGGUAGCUAAUACCGCAUACCAUCGGAUGUGCCCAGAUGGGAUUAGCUAGUAGGUGGGGUAACGGCUCACCUAGGCGACGAUCCCUAGCUGGUCUGAGAGGAUGACCAGCCACACUGGAACUGAGACACGGUCCAGACUCCUACGGGAGGAAGCAGUGGUGAAUUUUGCAGAAUGGGCGAAAGCCGUAUGCAGCCAUGCCGGGUGUAUGAAGACGGCCUUCGGGUUGUAAAGUACUUUCAGCGAGGAGGCGUGACUCGCAGAAGAAGCACCGGCUAACUCCGUGCCAGCAGCCGCGGUAAUUC
rnacentral:rRNA from 1 species